GGUUCGAUGGUGUAAUGGUGAGCGCUCUGGACUCUGAAUCCAGAGGAGCUGAGCUCAAGUUUUGGUGGAACGU
rnacentral:tRNA from 1 species